AAACCUCAAGCCUCAUCUCGUGUGUAUUGUCAUACUCGGAAAAAGAACGGGGUGGAAGAAGAUGAUGCUGCUGCAGAUGUGGAAAUGUCUGAGCUGGAGAAAUGCAGAGAACAUCUGAAUUCCAUCCUUGCCCACUGGGACCCUGUUUUCCCAGCACCACCCUCCACACACGGAGGGGAGACCCUCAGAGCCGGUGAAGGUGGGGGUGAGGCAGUGGCUGUCACCUCUGCAUCUGUUCACAUUGUCACUGCGUGGCGUGAGGUCCCUGGCUGGGCAGAGCCCCUCGGGGAGCAGGACGUGUCCCCAGCACCGAGGUGGCUGCGGAACCGCGUCCUGCCACACCCGGCGGCCGCGCGGGAGAUGUUCAGGGAUGAGACACUGAGGAACAGCCUCUUCAAGCUUUGCACCCGCCCUGCCAGGCCAGCAGCACCUCGGCUGGGCUCUCCAGGCAGCUCGGUGGGCUCAGUUCCAUCGUGCUGCAGCUAAUGGAGGAGCAGGGCCUGUUCAGCACCUUCCACGAGCUUCUGAAAUCUCUGUGCCUAUCAGCAGCGGUGGAAGAGGAUGCGGACAAGACAGCUGUGUCUGUAUUCCUGACUUCCAUUUACCUUGGAGACAUGUGCCUUGGAACACAGGAGCUGGAUGUGUUACUUACCCGUGUCAGACUGAUCUGCACUAGUGCAGAUUAUGAGUUACAGGGCGACUCAGACACUCGGAAACAAGGGGAAGAAGCUGUUAUGUCUCUAUGCAAAAAAAUUUGGCUCCAUCAGGGCAUUAAUUCAGGGGACUAACACUUCACCUUUAAUGUUCUUCUCUGCUCUGUCUGCAUCGCCAUGAGAGCCUCCUGAGAUGUCCUCAUAUAGACCUAUUUGUUUGGUCAAAAAAAUCAGUAUUUUAUUACUGGGUGCAAACUCAGGGGGAAGAUUUGAUUCAACAUCUCUCAGUGGGAACUUAAAGUUCCAAUUUCCCUUUUCUUGAACAGUUUGAGAGAUGAUAUUACGUAUGUCAUUUUUAUUACAGGCAUUUUUAUCUUUCUGAAGAACCAAAAAGACUGUUUGUGCAUGUGUCUCAGCAGCAGGCCCAGCACAGGCAGGCAGGUUUGGAAUUUUAUUUGCUAUGCUGCAGGUGUAUUCAAGACAUCGUUCCUCUUUGUUUGACAGAAGGAAGACAAAAAACUAAUUCUUAGCAAAAGAGGAUGUUUUCUUUCCUGUCUAUCAAGCAGCCAAAUACCACCAGCUAGCUAUCCAUAUUUUAAAAUCAGCUGGAGAACUUGCAUGCCAGGGACCUGGGGAGUGUCUGAAGAGAGCUCUGGCCAGCUCUGUUAGCUGUUAAGCACCCUGGAACAGCAGAGAAGAGGCUGGAAGAGUUCCAGUGCCCCAGUACCCAGAGACCCACCUGGUCAGGGCAGGUCACUCUUAGGCAGUGCUGCGACUGACCUGGGCCCAGGCAAAAUCACAGAACUGGAGCUGAGCUAAGACACAACUGAAAAAGUCUUUCAAAGGACAGGGAAGCUAAUUCCAGACUCUGUGGGUUUGGACAAAGACAAGUGCAGUGACAAUGUCUGAUAUCAUUUUCUGAGGGAGGUGUGAUUGGAAGGAUGAAGGCACAUCUGUAAUUUACUAUGAGGUUGCUCAUGCACCACAUCCAAAUACUGAAUGGAGUUCCUCAUGGUGAGUGAUCCGUCUGGAGCCAGCAGGGAGCCCCAGGGCCCUGGAUUGAGUCUCUCCAAGAGCAAGAAACAGGGAUGAGGGAUGAGACAUGCAGAUCUUCCAACUCUCUGGGCACCCAGCUUGGGUUUCUCUCCAACAUUACACCGUCUGUAGGAAGGUGAUAGCCAGAAGAAUUGUGUUGUGCAUGGCUAUCAGGAAUGCACAGCCUCCAGUGAAGUGCAUGGGACACCUGGAAGGAGCUGGCCCUGUCCUCUUUCUGCUGUGUGAAGUUCCAGCCUUGGCCAGGAACCAUCUCUGGCUGCAAACCCUUAUUUUCAUGUGUCAUUUUGGAUGUUAAUACACAUCAUUGAAGCAAAUGUUAAUUCUCUGCAUCCCAGCAGCGUGAUCGUCAGCUGCCUUGGCAGGCAGGUGGGUUUGAAAUCAGUGGUCCCAUGCUCCAGACCUUUUGUCUUAUUUCUGUGGGAUCGUGCAGUGCUGACAAGAGGGACUGGGACAUGGAUAGCUCAGGGCAGGGCUUGUACAGGCAUCAGCCUUCCCCGCUCUCCCAGAGGCACCCAUCGAGAUGGGGCAGCCACAGCUCCUCUGGGCAAUGUGUGCCAGAGCGUCCCCACCCUGGCAGGGAAGGAUUUGCUCCCAAUAUCUGAUGUGAGCCUACUGUCCUUCAGUGUGCACCAUUUCCCUGGUCCUGCCACUGCACCCCCGACAAAAAGUCCUUUUCCAUCUCUCUCACUGGCUCCUUUCAGGCACAGUUAGGUUACCCCAAAGCCUUCUCUUUUCCAUACUGAACAAUCCCACUUCUCUCUGUCUUUCCUUGUACAUGAGCUACUCCAUCUCUCUAAUCCUGGUGGACUCAGUCCAGCAGGUCUGUGCCCUUUUACUGUUGGGGAGCCCAGGGCUAGAUGUAGGCCUCCAGGUGGGACCUCUGCAGAGCAGAGCAGAGGGACAGGAUCCCCUCCCCAUCCUCUGCUCACCCUGCUUUUGCUGCAGCCCAAACCCAGCUGCCUUUCUGGGCUGCCAGUGCUCAUUGCUAAUGAUUUACCAAGAUUUUGGUACCUUGAAAUGAUCCCAGCAAUGAUUCAGGAUAAAGCCAUGCCUCAAAUCUUUCAUCAAAUAUAUAUAUAUAUAUAAUUGCAUAAAGUAUAUAAUAUUUAUAUGAGGUGUGUAUCCAGGAUAAAGCCAUACCUCCAAUCCCUCAAUAACUGUAUAAAGUAUAUGUAUAGAAUUGCAUAAAAUAUAUAAUAUUUCUGUAAAGUAUGUAUCCAGGAUAAAGCCGUACCUUGAAUCCUUCAAUAAUUACUCUGCCAGCUCUUUACACACUGCAAGAAGCUGCUCCUCAACCCCUCUGUCACAGGGGGCCUGUCUGAAAAAGCACAAAUCAAUGGCACAAAUGGGCUGGAGAAUGUUUUCACAGACAUCGCUAAGUGAAGGCUGUUUUUUUUUUUAUAAAUGAUCUACAGUUGUAGACGAAUGACCUUUUGCAACUAAAUAUGGUGUUAAUAAUAUCUACAUCAAGUCAAUGUCUUAACUAAACCUCUAAGGCAGUAUCUUCUAUGUCAAGUUAUAAUUUCUGAAAGCAACUUAAAAUGAAACCUCUCAUUGUUAAUGUAAAGCAUUAUAUUUUUUAAAGACAAGUUUCAGAGGAGAAGUAAAGAAUCAUAUUAUUAAUUUGAUGGAAACGUAGCUACUGUGACUGGAAGGAAUUUUCUGACUAAAGGAAAAUUUUUCAGUUCGGUCUAAAAGCGUGCCCAUUAAUUAUCUGCCAUAUUUUCAGAGACUACCAUUAAAAAUAAUCAAAGAAAGCAUAUAAUAAACAGAUCAAGAUAAAUGGUGUAGAGAAAGCAAAAUUAGGGUCUGAGGGUCUUUUAAUGACACACAAAAAAAAGAAAAGGUAGAAAACUUGAAAAUGAGUGAUUUUGUAUUAGUUGUUGCAGGGGUCAAUAAUUUGAUAAAAAACAGGCUGAAACUCUACAGUUGUGUAAACAUAUGGAUUUGAUAACAACAUUGCUGUAAACCAUUAAGAUGCACAUUUUGAGAUUUAGACUCAAAGUCAUUUUAAUCUAUUGGAGAUUCACUGUGACCUAAUGUCAAUCACAUUAUCCAUCUGCCUGCAGAAGCAACCUUACAGCUUCUUCAUUUGAAGCAUCUAGUUCCAGAUACUACCAACAAGCAGAAAACUGUCGGGAUAUCUAUAUUUGAUAUAAUUUAUAAAAUAUUUUCAAAAUAUUGUAAUUCCACAGGACAGAUAAAAAUAUUAUAGAAAUGUGGUUUUGCAUAAGUAUUAAAUAAGAUUUUCAUUAUAUAAAUAAUAAUAUAAAUACUAUUCCAACUGAUAAAAUAAUAUUUCAACUAAUAUCCUAUUAUUAGUUGAAAUAUACAGUUUGAAGUUGAAAAAAACCAACUGGAGUAGAUAGAAAAUACACUUAAGCAGAAGAGUUUAGUUUUUGCAGAAAAUUUACUUCUCUUGCAAGGGAAUUACAUCAUCAUACAAGGUGACAUGGAAAUUAGUGUUUCGUGAUGUGCUGCCAUUUCUUCAGCAGGUUGCAAAAGACUACACAUGAACAAAUUUAUAUUACUAGAUCCUUCUCUUUAUAUUUCAGAAUAGGAAAGUAUUUGAGGUGUAAUGGUACAGUUCAAAAUAUAUUUCACUCUUGUGAUUUGGUGUUCUGUAAGUCUCUCUCUCAAAGCUCUUUUUAAUGUAUUUUAAAGAUGGACAAAAAAAUGAGUCAUCCUGUGAGCAACUGAACUGGAAGAAAAAACAGUGACAGCUACCUUGGGUGAACCAGCAGAAGUGAUGUACAUUCAACAAUAGCUCUAAAAAGAGUAGUCUGAAAUGUCUACCUCAAAAGCUUGAUGAACCUUUCCAGCUUUCUUAGAAAUAGCAAUAAGGAUAAGCAGCAGAACAAGGAAUCUUUGAGUACACAACCUCCCUAAAGACUGAUUUUUAAAAUCGUGUUAUUUGAUGCAGUUGAAGAUUUUCAUUAACCACUCUAUUGCAAACAUCUUAGGUUUGCCAGUGUGAACACAAUGGUUAAGUCUCCAAUAAAUCAACAUCUGCAAGAGCCCCUUACUAUGAAAAAUAGUGCAGGCUUUACUUUUGCGGGUCUAUUUAUUUUAAUCACUAUCUGCCACAGAUUUGUGACUUUGUGACAAAGAGUGACAGUUUCUUCAGGCUCUGCAACUGAAAUCUAAUGGAAAACACAAGGGCAAUUCAAUGACUGAAUCAGAACUGCUGCACAAAACUAUCAGAUCAUUUUAGAAAUAUCACCUUCACUGCUUUAGUACAUUGAAUGUAGUAGUAGGCUGCCAAGUGUUGUUGACCUUGCAGCAAACCUGUUGCACCACCCACAGCUGCUUAGUUCAGAGAGGAACUGUGCACUUCCAUGUCUUCCCAAAAAAGCUAUUGUCUCAAAGAAGGUACAUUGUAGGAAUGUGCUCCCUGUUGACAGGGUAAAAAAGUUACUUUUUGUCUCCUUAAAAAGGACAAAAGCUUAGAAGUUUCUCUCUUUAAUUUGAUUAAAAGACACUUUAAAUUUUCUUUAGAGACUUCACUUCAAACUUAAGGAUAGUCAAUUAGACAGAAGCUAAAAAUUCUUGCUUAAACAAUUCACUAGAAAAGAAGAGAACAAAAGAAGUAAAUAACUCUUGUGAAGUGGUUUAGCAGCAGCAAGAACCUCUUGCCUUGGCUCAGUUUUCCUCUGUAAAGAGCUUUUGUAUUUUGCCUUUUAUUAAAAAUUUUUGUUUCCAGCACUGUCACAAGAACCAUCCUAUUAACUUUAUGCCACCUGAGGUAGCUAAGCUAUCAAAGUUAUAAUGUUUGUCUAUGAGAACUUAAAAGACCUAGCUCGAAUAGACAAAUCAUUAGUACAUCAUUAAUCUGAGCAGGUAAACACAGUCAUUGCUGUUAUCAGCACACCCAGCAUUUUUGAUUCAAGUAACUCAACUGUUUUACCCAAACUCCAGAGCCACUUCUAACAGCAAGGUGUCUUCAUCCAGCGUAAUUCACUAAAAAUUCACUUUAGUGAGCUGACACAGAGUUGUGGCAAUAUUGACCUCUAUAGAGCACUGCUGAGAAAGCACUUUCUGAAACUGGAAUUUUCUCCACAGCCACAGGAGCCUGCAAUGUGAAUUGGCAGUAAUUUCAAAAUGGCACAAAUUAUAUAUACGGGUACCAAGGUGGUGGAUGGGUAGCGCCACAGGAUAUACAUGUGGUUUAUGUCAUGGCAUUCAGCACAGAACUUGAGAUAUAUCAACCUUCAUAGUCUUGUCAGUCUAAGCCACAAAUCCCCAGAUUUUGCGGGUGGCAGGAAAAUUUUCUAGUAUAGGAAUUCUAGGAAUUUUUCUAGUUUACUUUAUUGUUCACAAAAGAAUACCUUUGUUGAACAUAAUCCUUCUCUUGAAGAGAUUUACAUUGCAUUAGUGAGGGUUUCAAAAGGGUCUCUGUAGCCAGCAUUUGGUUUAAUGCUUGCUUAAACCUCUUAAACAUGAGAAGGUGCAGAGUUGAGUACGGCAAUUUCAGCUGAACAAAUAGAAUAAAUACUAGAAAAAACUCCUGUUCAACUAGAAAAUUUCAGUUUAAUAUUUGGAAACUUAAACAAAUUAAAGGUCAGUGACUAUUCAGCUUGGGAGCUAGGAGCCCACCCACUGUAUUCCAAGAACAACCUAACCUUUCCUAUCAUCGGGCCACUCUUCUGGUUGUAUAAACCAAUUGCUCUUUACUCUUGCAAAAAGGAUUUCUAAACUUACUGGGAAUUGAAAUAAUCAAUCUUAUUCACAUGGCCAUUGAUUAAAAAGCCACUUGAAUUUUCCUCUGUGGUAUUUUUGUAGAAUAAGGGCUUUUCAUAAUAAUAAAGGAUGUUAAUUCCAAAGUGGUGUUCUGCCAGUUUAAUAUUUGUUGCAGAAAAAUGUAACUCAGCAUUUUACAUAAGAAUGGGUCCUGUGAUUUCUUGAAAAUUUUCCAUUGUUUGGUGUCUGGAAAUUCUUAGAAAAUUCUGCUAAAUACAGUUUGCUUGCUUUAGAGUUUUCUUGUUUGGGUGUGUUUGGGGUUUUGGGUUUUUUGGUUUGGUUUUAAUGCUGAAUGAUUUUAUUUUCUUCCAAACAAGCAGUACUAGUAGUAGAAGUCUGAUUCUACUCUAGUGACACUACUACUAGACACCACUACUACUUAAUCAAAAUCAGAUUUUUGCUUAUUUGCCUUUCAUAGCACUGCAGAUAUUUUCCAGUAAAACAAAUUAUUUUCCAGCUCAGUAUUUUCCAAAGUAAACAUGCUACAACUAGCAUCAUUGCUCCUAGCCUGAUAUAUUUUCCGCUGGUUUUCUUUUCUUUUUCAGAUUGUUACAAGGUCAGAAAACAGAUAUUUUUCAGAUAUUUGAUUAGAUAUUUUUUUUCUUUUCUUUUUUCUUCUUCCAUAAGAA